rnacentral:rRNA from 1 species
GACGAACGCUGGCGGCGUGCUUAACACAUGCAAGUCGAGCGGUAAGGCCUUUCGGGGUACACGAGCGGGGAACGGGUGAGUAACACGUGGGUGAUCUGCCCUGCACUCUGGGAUAGGCCUGGGAAACUGGGUCUAAUACCGGAUAUGACUACAUGCUGCAUGGUGUGUGGUGGAAAGAUUUAUCGGUGCAGGAUGGGCCCGCGGCCUAUCAGCUUGUCGGUGGGGUAAUGGCCUACCAAGGCGACGACGGGUAGCCGACCUGAGAGGGUGACCGGCCACACUGGGACUGAGACACGGCCCAGACUCCUACGGGAGGCAGCAGUGGGGAAUAUUGCACAAUGGGCGGAAGCCUGAUGCAGCGACGCCGCGUGAGGGAUGAAGGCCUUCGGGUUGUAAACCUCUUUCAGCAGGGACGAAGCGUGAGUGACGGUACCUGCAGAAGAAGCACCGGCUAACUCUGUGCCAGCCGCCGCAGUAA